CCUACGGGAGGCAGCAGUGAGGAAUAUUGGUCAAUGGCCGUAAGGCUGAACCAGCCAAGUCGCGUGAAGGAAGAAGGAUCUAUGGUUUGUAAACUUCUUUUAUAGGGGAAUAAAGGUAUCCACGUGUGGAUCUUUGCAUGUACCCUAUGAAUAAGCAUCGGCUAACUCCGUGCCAGCAGCCGCGGUAAUACGGAGGAUGCGAGCGUUAUCCGGAUUUAUUGGGUUUAAAGGGUGCGUAGGUUGUUUUUUAAGUCAGCGGUGAAAGUUUGUGGCUCAACCAUAAAAUUGCCGUUGAAACUGGAAGACUUGAGUGUGUUUGAGGUAGGCGGAAUGCGUGGUGUAGCGGUGAAAUGCAUAGAUAUCAUGCAGAACUCCGAUUGCGAAGGCAGCUUACUAAGCCAUAACUGACACUGAAGCACGAAAGCGUGGGGAUCAAACAGGAUUAGAUACCCCAGUAGUC
rnacentral:rRNA from 1 species